CCAAGAAAAUGGAGUACAGUUUGGUUUGUCGAUUCUCCCCCCCCUUCCCUCUUAAAAAGACCCUGACAUCCGGAGGACAACUUUAACCUAUCUGAGGCACUCAAUUUGGUUUUCUAUUCGCUCAAGGAAAAUGAUGUUCGGUUUAGUUUGUCGACCCCUCCAUCCCCCAGAGAAGCUGACAUCCAGGGGACAGCUUGAACCUAUCUGAGGCGCUCAGUUUGGUGAGGAUGGACCAGAAUCGACGAUUGUCUGAGAAAUUCUAUUGGGUCCUAUUUAUGUGUGUGCAAGGAAAUAUUUGGAUGGAAAUUCAAUCAUUUGGAUUAUAUUCCUGCUAGACUGAACCGGAGAAUGCUGAGACUGAACAAAUAGAUGUCGGGGUUAGUGAAAGUUGUCUGCAGAAAAUUCAGCAAUAUCACUUGUGAUUUUGAUGGAGCUCUAAAAUACACUGAGAUGGGUCAGGAUGGGUUUGAGCUUGGCCAAAUCUAAACGUUAGGACAACAUUGAUACACAUAGGCCCCUAAUUAAUAUUAAAGUAGUGUAAGGGCCUGGUUUUAAUCCACCCUUACCCAUCUUAGAAUAUUGUAGACUCCAUAUCACGAAGAUUGUUGGGUUGGAAAUGGACAACUAUAAACUUCUUAUUCCUUUGCGAACACGUCACAUCGCGGGAACGUUCUUGAGAAGAAACACCCAUCAAUUUCUAACAAGAUUCAAAAUCCAGAAUAUCUUCUAUGGUACAUUGUAAGUAUGGUAAGAUAUUAUUAAAUUUACUUUGGAAUUCAUAAAUAUUUUCGCCUUGACAUUUGAUUUCGUUUUUAUUGAAUUACUUUUAUUGGUAUAUUUACUGUGGAUUUGGUGAAAUAAAUAUUUUUGACCUAAUGGAUAUUAUUAGAUUAUUACUGCCUAGAAAUACUGUAAGAUAGCAUCGAUUUGCACAGUCAAAUGAUAUACAAAAUGAACCGGAAAUCGUAAAUUCAAUUGAAUACUGAUCUUCCAAAAAUAUCCUUUAUGAAGUUUAUGCGAUCCGCUUUUUUUUUUUUUACUAUGGUCUUUCCUGACCAUGUGCAAAUCAAUGCCUACAUAAUAAUGUACCGAUACCAAUAGAUUUGUGCACUAGUACACAAUAAAAGUAAACAUAUUGUGUUAUUGUUUAAGUAAACUAUGCUUUUACGUUAUAUAUGUAUCGAUUUAAUCUGAAAUAUAGAAUAAAAGAACUACGAUAUAUGAAAUAUUGACGUAGUGGUAGGAAAGUAGAAUUAUUGAUAUCCUAGCCUUAGAUAUAGAUAAUUAUAUGAUUAAUUGGUAAUGGCUGAUUAAGUAAUUUAUGAUGAUGAUGGAUGAUUGAUGACUAUCAAAAUAAUAAAUGAUAAUACAAAAAAGCAUAGAUCUAUAAUAGGUGGAUUAUAAUUUUUUUUUAGAGAUGAACAUAAUAUUGCUAUCCAAGCAUUAGAUAUGGAUAAUGUUAUGAUUAAUAGGUAAUGGCUGAUUUAGUAUUAAAUUGAUGAUUGAUAAUCAGAAUAACUACGAAGAAGGCUUGAUCUAUAAUAGGAGAAUAAGAGGGCAUUUCGUAGAGAUUUUGGCAUUAGUAAUUGAUGAUGCCUAUCAUACAUACCGAUCUAAUAAGAAAAAAACGACGACGGAAAAUAACAACUAGGACAAUGAAAAUUUUUUUUUG
rnacentral:lncRNA from 1 species